rnacentral:lncRNA from 1 species
UUCUUCACCCGAGUGUCGGGGAAGUAGUAAUUAGUGUCUGGGAGCUGCGCUCUUCCACUUCUCCCAGUGCCUCUGGCGAUUUCCAAGUGGGAUCUGCGACUUCAGGGUUCUGGCCAAGCCCGCAGGCUGGCGUGAUUAGUUGCCGUUGAAGGGGGCUCCGCCAAUGAAAUCUUCUCUGCGCUCUGAUUUGGCGGUUCUUCGGUGCAAAUAUGACAGCUUUCUCUCUCAGCUCUUUUCUGCAUCUCUCCAUGUCCGACCCCGGAGCUCAGUUCUCGGUCUGCAAUUUCUACACCACAACCUUUGCAAUCACCACCACCACCACCACCACCACCCCUAGGUCCCAUGUCAGCAGGUGCCAGGUUGCUACAAAGGUGACAGGGCACAUUGGGAAGAAGGCUUGUUGAUUGCAGAAGAUACUUAUGCCCCGUAUUUCCAGGUCAACGCCUGUGUGUUCCAUCAGUUAAUGGGGAGUAGUAGUUAAGAGAGUAUACUAGUGAGGCUUUGGUGAGACGGGAUUUUGCUGUCUAUCGAGGAAAAUAAAAGAUGUGAACUUCCUGUGUUCAG